CCUACGGGUGGCAGCAGUGGGGAAUAUUGCACAAUGGGGGAAACCCUGAUGCAGCGACGCCGCGUGAGUGAAGAAGUAUUUCGGUAUUUAAAGCUCUAUCAGCAGGGAAGAAAAUGACGGUACCUGAUUAAGAAGCCCCGUCUAACUACGUGCCAGCAGCCGCGGUUAUACGUAGGGGGCAAGCGUUAUCCGGAUUUACUGGGUGUUAAGGGAGCGUAGACGGCAGCACAAGUCUGGAGUGAAAUGCCGGGGCUUAACCCCGGAACUGCUGUGGAAACUGUGCAGCUAGAGUGAAGGAGAGGUAAGUGGAAUUCCCAGUGUAGCGGUGAAAUGCGUAGAUAUUAGGAGGAACACCAGUGGCGAAGGCGGCAUACUGGACUGUAACUGACGUUGAGGCUCGAAAGCGUGGGGAGCAAACAGGAUUAGAUACCCCAGUAGUC
rnacentral:rRNA from 1 species